CUGUGUCACUUUACAGGAUUGGUUGGU
rnacentral:piRNA from 1 species